GGUUAUUCCGUUACGAACGUGACUCAAAUACAUUAAAUAGAUUCCUAUCAGAUAAGUAAACUGUUAAUGCUUGCUUAUGGCUUGCUUUCGGGUAGGUCAUUGGGUAAGUGGAGGUUUACCUGAUAGUUUGUCAACUGUCAAAGGUUGGCUUUGAUCUGCUUAAUGAGACAAAUUGUGUUUAGCAAAAUGAGAUUGAGCAAUAACAGGUCCGUGAUGCCCUUAGAUGUCCUGGGUUGCACGCGCGCUACAAUGAGACCAUCAACGUGAUACCUGAUCUGAAAGGAUUGGGAAAUCACUUAAAUGUGCUCUUAGUUGGGAUUGUGGAUUGUAAUUAUUCACAUGAACCUGGAAUUCCCAGUAAAUGCUAGUCAUCAGCUAGCGUUGACUAAGUCCCUGCCCUUUGUACACACCGCCCGUCGCUAUUACCGAUUGGUUAUUUAGUGAGGUCUCCGGAGGUAAUCGCCGAAGAUGCUUAGGUAUCAUUAGGUUGUUUUGCCAAAGUUGACCGAACUUGAUGAUUGAGAGGAAAUAAAAGUCGUAACAAGGUUUCCGUAGGUGAACCUGCGGAAGGAUCAU
rnacentral:rRNA from 1 species